rnacentral:rRNA from 2 species
UUUGAUCCUGGCUCAGAGCGAACGCUGGCGGCAGGCUUAACACAUGCAAGUCGAGCGGGCGUAGCAAUACGUCAGCGGCAGACGGGUGAGUAACGCGUGGGAACGUACCUUUUGGUUCGGAACAACACAGGGAAACUUGUGCUAAUACCGGAUAAGCCCUUACGGGGAAAGAUUUAUCGCCGAAAGAUCGGCCCGCGUCUGAUUAGCUAGUUGGUGAGGUAAUGGCUCACCAAGGCGACGAUCAGUAGCUGGUCUGAGAGGAUGAUCAGCCACAUUGGGACUGAGACACGGCCCAAACUCCUACGGGAGGCAGCAGUGGGGAAUAUUGGACAAUGGGGGCAACCCUGAUCCAGCCAUGCCGCGUGAGUGAUGAAGGCCCUAGGGUUGUAAAGCUCUUUUGUGCGGGAAGAUAAUGACGGUACCGCAAGAAUAAGCCCC